rnacentral:lncRNA from 1 species
UGCCUUGCAUCGCCAUCUAUUAAUACUAAACUUUAGAAAAAGGGGUUCUCAUAAAGUAUUGGGACAUUUAUAAAAUCCUCUGUAAUGGAUAUGAAUAAAGAGAAAUGUGGGGUAUACAUCAAUAACACUCUUAACCACUGACCAAAAGACGCAUUUUUCAGAGUGAUUCUAUACAAUAUACUGAAUGAUCUGCUAACCCUUUCAGAUCUAUUGAGAUCACCAAAGUUUUUGAUGGGGUUCGUGUUGUUCUGUCUAGUAUUCCAUGUUGUGUUUUGUAUAUUGUUGUUAGUUUAAUGGUCAUUUUUCGUUUUUUGCCACGGCAUUUACAGUUUGUUUCAUUUACGAGUUAGAAUAUUGUGGUAUCUUUCGCCUCUCUUUAAGCUCUUAAUCUAAACAUUAUCAGAAAGUUGUGAAUCAACGUAACACAAACAAACAAUAAUGAGGUCUGCCAUCAACACCAAUUCUCUAGGUACAUAAGAUGAUGCUGACUAACAGCAUGGCUGUCCGUAUUAUAAAUCCGAGCUAGACAUCCUGUUUAUACUUUUUCUUUCCUUGAUAGUUUGUCCUUUGGUACGCUUGUUUUAGUACUGUUUUUGGAUGAAAUGUUUUCAUUCUGUAA